AUUCCAACGCCACAGCUACCAAGUAACAAGAUUAAGAACCCUCAAGAAUUUUUUAAAAUGAAAAUGCUUUCUAACUAAGAGUAAGAAAUGCAUUUCUAAAGCAUUUCAUUCAGAAGGUCACAUUCAAAUUAGCAGAUACAGGAGCCCUGCCAGUAAAGUGUUUUGAAAUAAAAGUCCUCAAUCCCGCCACUCCAGUUGGCUCAGCGUCUGUCCAGGCGAGUGUGCCUGUGAGACCUGGGCUUUGUAGCCAGGGAAUGGGAGGGGGGGUUAACUGUGGAAACUCGGUCCAGGGGUCCCAAAACCUUGAGGGUUGAGGCGAGGCAGUCUCCUGCUGCUCUCACACAGUCCUCAAGUUGUCUUUCCUCUUGGGGGGGACCAAGCCAUCUAGCCUAGCCCUGGUCCUGUGGAGUUCUCAUGUCUGCUCAUCUUCUGCCAAGGGUGCUUGAGGUUGAGAGUCAGCCUUGUUCAUCUGGAAGCGGAGGGAAGCUGACCUCUUUCUCCUGGGCCUUCUCCGCUAUCACAAGGAUAUGCGUGUCUCGCUGAAUGCCACCCCCAUCACCUCUUCUUGAGUGAGGAACCCAGAUGUCUGCCUCUUACCUCCAGGUUCAUGGGUCUCCAGCUUCAGCUUUAUUCUGUCCCCAUUGCCUCCGGGACACACUGAACCCCAUGGAACUCAGCCCAGCACCAUUGACCUUUGCCAACUGACCUUUGCCAACCUUUGUCCUUUCACUGCUCUCAAUCUGGGGACCUCAGACUUCAGCCCUGAGACUCCCUGGCCAGAUGCCUCCCUCCCAGAUGCCUUGGGCCCUUGCUCUGUCAUUUCCUUUCUCCCUU
rnacentral:lncRNA from 1 species